ACCGCACCGGAUGGCCUAGGAAGUGCAGAGGCCACCGGUUUUCUUGUUAAUUUAUGGACAGCCUGACAACACCAGAGCCCACAAUGCAACACUCCGCUUCAUCCGAUGCUAAAUAUGAUCCCAUUGAGGAAAGGAGCCGUCAAGUGACCAGAUUUGCCUCGGACCGUUCGCAACCUCUGAUUGGAUCAGCACUAAUCCUCCAGUAUACGUCUCUCUGAUGGAAUUUCCACAGGCCUACCAUCCGACGAUCCUUCAGCUGACCAGGGGGCCAGAGGACGAAGCCAGUCCCCUGGGAUGACCAAACCACCCUUUCUCAGAUACCCAUUUGUUGUACCCACCCCACCUCCUCCUCCUCCUUCCUCCCGAUGGAUGACCCUGCAACCAGCAGGGGUCAGCUGCGCAGAAGGAGCCCCCCACACCACAGCCCUCGGUCCGGGGCCGCAGCGUAAAUCAGCGGCUGUUCAUCGCGAGAACCCUGCCCUGCCCGGGGUCUCAGCCCAGCCUGGCACCAUCUGUCCCAGGACUCUGACGCAGAAGCAGCGCUGCCAAGGUGGGUUCCCACUGACCUGCUGCACCCUCCAGGCCAUAUGGGCCAGACCUGGGACUGGAGACAGAUCCAUCAUACUGGAGUCUGGACAUGGUAGAAGAGGCUUGGUGUACAUCUACUGUAAAUGAACUCACUGAUACAGUGGACAAAUUAAAGGAAUUCCUCUUGCAAUAAAUGCAAUCCAUUACAUCGACACCAUAAAUACACCAACAGCAGUUUGGAUCAUCGUCUCUCUGACACACCGUCUAUAAAAACUGCAAAAUGUAAGUCAAUAUUAAGCUAAUAUUUAUUACAGAUAUUUUAUCAAAUUACAUUAGUGGGUCCAUCCCCAUGUGGGGAUGAUAUUGAUUGGGCUUUCAUUACGGUUAGCCUCAGUGGUGGAAAAUAACUAUGUGGGUUUACUCAUGUACUGUGCUUAAGAAUGAUUUUGAGGUUGUACUUCACAGGCCCUCAGGUUCACAUUGAGUACUUCUUCCACCACUGGUUAGCCUAAAAUACUUAACAUUUUAAACCAACCCUAUUUGUAAACAUACCAUUCCAUUAUGGAAAAAACUAUUCAUAGUUUAAUAAUGUACAUACUUGUAUCAGCUUGUGUUUGUAUAAACUUUAAGUUGGCGUUUUAAUUGGAUGGAUUUAAUUAAAAAUUCAUUCAUAAAUGGCCCUCUGCUGACACACCUGUGCAAUAACAUCUUAAUAGACUCAGACAUAUUGCAUAACAACUUCACCUGUAUAAGAAAGCAAUAACAAAGGGUGGAAAGAGUACUAGAAUGUAAGUACUGUUACUUUACAUAAGUAUUACUGAAGUAGAAGAUUACUUGUAUAAAAAGCGACUUAUGUAGAGAAGCGGCCCCUUUGAAGACAACACAGAGUACAAUAACUGUGAAAGGACCGAUGUGGCAUCGUGAUUGUAACCAUUUCAAUUCAAAGUCCUACCAAUCAUCACUCUGAUGGGACCAUCUUUUGUUUAUAAGAAAGUUUUCUCAGAGACUCUCCUCCUGAUUAGGCCUUAAUUGCACAGCUGUAGGCUACUCUCACAUUCUUGCUUUUCUUGCCAAAAGUAGUUGAGUAGAUCACUUUGUCAGCUAUUUAAGUGAAAGCUAAAUUUCUGAUCUUAGAAUAUACUAGAAACAAUAAAAAGCCUGUCAAUUAGAGCACUUGCAAUUCCACCUCUUGCCAAAACUAGUCACAAUCUAUUAAGGUGACCUGACCGACCCUGUUAUUUUGCUGGAUAACUGCCACAGACUAAAUAGAUGAUGAACUGGUCACACAUGCAAAACAGUCCAACCUUUUAAGUGCAAGACAAGUCUCUACACUCCACCUCAUCACCCUUGACGACUUGACGUCUUUUCCCUCUUCAUAAUAACAGCACCUGGAAUUGUGACACAUAAAUCUUAUCGGCAGAGACAGUCUGCAGGUCCCCGGGCAGUACAGCCCAGCUUAUUGCUUUCUCCCACAGCCCCGACCAUGCUUCUUGCCCCCUUAGGCCUGGCUCUAAUGGGCGAGCAGCAGUCAUAAAGUGGUUGUAUUACUGUUUUCCUUUUUCUAAGCCAGUGACACCAGUUGUUCACCCUCCUCACCAGGGCCUUUUGUGAGGCCUUACAGCUGUCAAUGCCAGGCGGAGGAUGAUUGUAGAAGACGACACACAUUACCUUGAGGUGACACCACAUUCCACUGAAGGCCUGUCUUUGUGAGCUAACAAUAACUUUGCAGCAAAGCAUUAAAAAUCUGCUUUAGCUCUGUGGUGUGUCUGUGUGUUUGGUGUCGUCUCAUUCUUGUGUUGCAUCAAACCUGGAGUAAUGUCUUAAAAAAAAUUCGGGGGAAAAACCAUCUCGCAGAUGAAUGAUAAUUGGGGUAAAGGAUCAAUGUUUGUUAAGACUCCCACCAACGAUUUUUAACGAAUAUUUGUUGUCUUAUUGCUCUCACAGGCUUGAGGAGUGAUUUUUGGCCGCCAUCAGGGUUGAGGGUAGGACAAUAAGACCUUCACAGUGACAACCCCAAGACAAAAAUAGACACGCACAUACACACACACGCACAGUAAAGAGUGUGUCAUUCUGAGAAGUGGGAAAGCACAGACUACAGAACAUUUUGUACUUUUGGCCUCUGGUUUGAUUAGCCAGUCAUUUUAAAGCUGAAAUAAUAAUGAUCUAAUAAAUACAAUUGAGCAAUCGUUUAUAGAGUCAUAAGAAAACUGUAUAAAACACUUUUGUCGCCCUUGAUAACACUGAACUAAAACAUUAGAUAUUGGAUUUAUAUUAAUUUUUUGAAGUUUAUUAAAUAUAUUGGGUGGUUCAGUUUCCCACAAAUUAGCUCUGGGAUUACUCAUGUUAUUGUAUCACUGAUUUGUGUUUUUAGUAAGGCUACAUGUACAAUCAUAAGGAGAAAAUUAAAACUGAAUGGAAAAUUGAUGUUUGUCUUAAGGAGAAUAAUGAAGACAUCUUGUAUUCAUCAGCCCGCUUGCCCAAUUCAAUUUGUCAUAUAAUUUGUGCACAUACUGCCCUCGUGUGUUGAGCCAGUGGUACUGACAUUAUCCUCCACAGCACAGGCAUUUCAUAUGUCUAUUACUAUAGGCAUUAGUCACUGUCAAACAUCACUAAAAUUGAUUUUGAUGUAAAUAAGCAUAACUGAAAAUUGUAACUAUUCUAGUUUCGGUGAAAAUUACAUUUAACACAUUUGACCAACAGGGUGACAGGCCUGUAGAAGGCAUACAAGGGUUACAUACUUGGUAAGGGUUACUUGAAGACACCAAGAAAGGAAUGUACCACAUGACUGACUUGAUCUCAUGUAUGUUUUUAAACAAGUAAAUGCAUUGAAGGCACAAAAUGAGAACUCUUUGCAUCCAUGGCACCCUUUUCUGGCGAUUCCUUUGCUUUGAGCAUAACACAUCACAAGAAUGCCUGUUUUUUUUUUAUUCAUAUAUCUUGAUACCAUGUUA